rnacentral:rRNA from 1 species
UACAGAGGGGGCAAGCGUUAUUCGGAAUUAUUGGGCGUAAAGGGCGCGUAGGCGGCUUUGCAAGUGACGGGUGAAAGCCCUCGGCUUAACCGAGGAACUGCCUGUCAGACUGUAAGGCUUGAGACCGGGAGAGGUGAGUGGAAUUCCCAGUGUAGCGGUGAAAUGCGCAGAUAUCAGGAGGAACACCGAUGGCGAAGGCAGCUCGCUGGGACGGUACUGACGCUGAGACGCGAAAGCGUGGGGAGCAAACAGG